rnacentral:rRNA from 1 species
CUGCGGAAGGAUCAUUACCGAAUUGUCAACAAGGGUUGUUGCUGGCCCCUGCAUGGGGGCAUGUGCACACUCUGUUUACACAUCCACUCACACCUGUGCACCCUCUGUAGUUCUAUGGCCUGGGGGCCUUGUCCUCCUGCCGUGGUUCUACGUCUUUACACACACACAUUGAAAUGAAGUCUAAUGGAAUGUAUGUCGCGUUUAACGCAAUGAAAUACAACUUUCAGCAACGGAUCUCUUGGCUCUCGCAUCGAUGAAGAACGCAGCGAAAUGCGAUAAGUAAUGUGAAUUGCAGAAUUCAGUGAAUCAUCGAAUCUUUGAACGCACCUUGCGCCCUUUGGCUAUUCCGAAGGGCAUGCCUGUUUGAGUAUCAUGAACACCUCAACUCUCAUGGCUCGCCGUGAUGAGCUUGGACUUUGGGGGUCUUGCUGGCCUGUGGUCGGCUCCUCUCAAAUGAAUUAGCCUGCCGGUGUUUGGUGGGAUCACAGGUGUGAUAACUAUCUACGCUUGUGGUUUUCCACCAGGUAACCCUCAGCAAUGGAGGUUCACUGGAGCUUAUAAACGUCUCUCCUCAGCGAGGACAGGUUUUGACCAUUUGAUCUCAAAUCAGGUAGGACUACCCGCUGAACUUAA